rnacentral:rRNA from 1 species
UACGAAGGGGGCUAGCGUUGUUCGGAUUUACUGGGCGUAAAGCGCACGUAGGCGGGUCGUUAAGUCGAGGGUGAAAUCCUGGAGCUCAACUCCAGAACUGCCUUCGAUACUGGCGACCUAGAGUCCGGAAGAGGUGAGUGGAACUCCUAGUGUAGAGGUGGAAUUCGUAGAUAUUAGGAAGAACACCAGUGGCGAAGGCGGCUCACUGGUCCGGUUCUGACGCUGAGGCGCGAAAGCGUGGGGAGCAAACAGG